AGGUGCGAUCAUACCAGCACUAUAGCACCAGAUCCCAUCUAAACUCCGCAGUUCAGCGUGCUUGGGCGAGAGUAGUUCUAGGAUGGGUGACCUUGUGGGUAGUAUUCGUGUUCCACCCC
rfam:Beta vulgaris subsp. vulgaris 0533.scaffold01098.con0007.1, whole genome shotgun sequence.